rnacentral:rRNA from 1 species
GAUGAACGCUGGCGGCGUGCCUAAUACAUGCAAGUCGAGCGAACAGACGAGGAGCUUGCUCCUCUGACGUUAGCGGCGGACGGGGUAGUAACACGUGGAUAACCUACCUAUAAGACUGGGAUAACUUCGGGAAACCGGAGCUAAUACCGGAUAAUAUAUUUAACCGCAUGGUUCAAUAGUGAAAGACGGUUUUGCUGUCACUUAUAGAUGGAUCCGCGCCGCAUUAGCUAGUUGGUAAGGUAAAGGCUUACCAAGGCAACGAUGCGUAGCCGACCUGAGAGGGUGAUCGGACACACUGGAACUGAGACACGGUCCAGACUCCUACGGGAGGCAGCAGUAGGGAAUCUUCCGCAAUGGGCGAAAGCCUGACGGAGCAACGCCGCGUGAGUGAUGAAGGUCUUCGGAUCGUAAAACUCUGUUAUUAGGGAAGAACAAAUGUGUAAGUAACUAUGCACGUCUUGAGGGUACCUAAUCAGAGAGCCACGGCUAACUACGUG